UAUGGCAACGAAAGCAGAAAUUCAGCAUCUAGUUUCUUUGUCACGGCCAUCAUGUGAACAGAAACUUAUCUUCAGCUCAAUAAAAUUGUGAAUAGCGACCCUUUUGGACCAAAAGGAAAAAUAACCUGAUCUAGAGAGAGAAGCACCGAUCGAGCAAGCAAGCGUAUGAUCUCCGAGACAAAAUCAGGUCCUCACAACUUUCAACCGCCUGGCACUUGAUCUUCAAUCGCUCACCAAUGGAGGAAAACCUUUACCUCCGACCGGAGCUCGGGAAAGAACAGCGAAA
rnacentral:lncRNA from 1 species